UUUAGAGUUUGAUCCUGGCUCAGGACGAACGCUGGCGGCGUGCUUAACACAUGCAAGUCGAACGAGAACCAUUUCUUCGGAGAUGGGGACAGUGGCGAACGGGUGAGUAACACGUAGGUAAUCUGCCCUCGAGUGGGGGAUAAUUCCGGGAAACUGGUUGUAAUACCGCAUAACAUCCCGGUGGGGCAUCCCACUGGGAUUAAAGGCGCAAGCCGCUCGAGGAUGAACCUGCGUCCCAUUAGCUUGUUGGUGAGGUAACGGCUCACCAAGGCUACGAUGGGUAGCUGGUCUGAGAGGACGACCAGCCACACUGGGACUGAGAUACGGCCCAGACUCCUACGGGAGGCAGCAGUGAGGAAUAUUGCGCAAUGGGCGAAAGCCUGACGCAGCAACGCCGCGUGGGCGAUGAAGCACUUUUGUGUGUAAAGCCCUGUUAGGAGGAACGAACCGUCCCGACGUGUCGGGACCUGACGGACCUCCAGAGAAAGUCCGCCA
rnacentral:rRNA from 1 species